rnacentral:lncRNA from 1 species
AAAGUCUUCGACAAGCGAUCAUCCCGACGACAACGAUUCAGCCUCAACCCUUCAAGACAUCAACAAGGAUCAUCAAGACGAGCAAGGCGAGGUCAUCUCAUGGUCUUCUUCAACGAUCAACCUUUCGACAAGCCGAGCUUCAACCUUUCUCACCGAAGGUUCGUGGAACGCAUCACCACCGAGGAACCUUCGAUCAAGACAAGCUUUGGGAAAGCUUAGCUCGUGUGCCUUCACCUCCACGUCCGAGUGAAGGCAUCCCUAAGACGUUAGGUG